ACGGGUGUGCGUAAAUGACUUCGACGUGAUAAAUCUUUCUCACACGCACUUGUAAUUAACUGGCCGUUGAUCACGCUCAUUUAAUUAUACGACUAGUACCAGCAUGGUACCAUCAAGUGGUGUAAUUUGGGACAUGUGAAGCAAAUUCGGAGAUUACUAAAUAAUAUUCCAAAUUAAUUCACGUGCUUUUAACAGGGAUCUAAAAUCAGUUAACGCUAAAACUGAUGUCAGAUUCUGGUUAAGACUAUCUCAAGAUUUUAUUUUGAAAAAUAAAGAGUUACUAACAAACAAUUCUUUGUGGAGUAUUAAAAGUGCUGAAGAACAAGAA